UACGAAGGGUGCAAGCGUUACUCGGAAUUACUGGGCGUAAAGCGCACGUAGGCGGCUUUGUAAGUUAGAGGUGAAAGCCCAGGGCUUAACCCUGGAAUUGCCUUUAAGACUGCAUCGCUAGAAUCGUGGAGAGGUGAGUGGAAUUCCGAGUGUAGAGGUGAAAUUCGUAGAUAUUCGGAAGAACACCAGUGGCGAAGGCGACUCACUGGACACGUAUUGACGCUGAGGUGCGAAAGCCGUGGGGAGCAAACAGG
rnacentral:rRNA from 1 species